AGCGGCGGACGGGUGAGUAACACGUGGGUAACCUGCCUGUAAGACUGGGAUAACUCCGGGAAACCGGGGCUAAUACCGGAUACUUGUUUGAACCGCAUGGUUCAAACAUAAAAGGUGGCUUCGGCUACCACUUACAGAUGGACCCGCGGCGCAUUAGCUAGUUGGUGAGGUAAUGGCUCACCAAGGCAACGAUGCGUAGCCGACCUGAGAGGGUGAUCGGCCACACUGGGACUGAGACACGGCCCAGACUCCUACGGGAGGCAGCAGUAGGGAAUCUUCCGCAAUGGACGAAAGUCUGACGGAGCAACGCCGCGUGAGUGAUGAAGGUUUUCGGAUCGUAAAGCUCUGUUGUUAGGGAAGAACAAGUGCCGUUCAAAUAGGGCGGCACCUUGACGGUACCUAACCAGAAAGCCACGGCUAACUACGUGCCAGCAGCCGCGGUAAUACGUAGGUGGCAAGCGUUGUCCGGAAUUAUUGGGCGUAAAGGGCUCGCAGGCGGUUUCUUAAGUCUGAUGUGAAAGCCCCCGGCUCAACCGGGGAGGGUCAUUGGAAACUGGGGAACUUGAGUGCAGAAGAGGAGAGUGGAAUUCCACGUGUAGCGGUGAAAUGCGUAGAGAUGUGGAGGAACACCAGUGGCGAAGGCGACUCUCUGGUCUGUAACUGACGCUGAGGAGCGAAAGCGUGGGGAGCGAACA
rnacentral:rRNA from 1 species